UACGAAGGGGGCUAGCGUUGUUCGGAUUUACUGGGCGUAAAGCGCACGUAGGCGGAUCGUUAAGUCGGUGGUGAAAUCCUGGAGCUCAACUCCAGAACUGCCUUCGAUACUGAGAGUCUCGAGUCCGGGAGAGGUGAGUGGAACUGCGAGUGUAGAGGUGAAAUUCGUAGAUAUUCGCAAGAACACCAGUGGCGAAGGCGGCUCACUGGCCCGGUACUGACGCUGAGGCGCGAAAGCUAGGGGAGCAAACAGG
rnacentral:rRNA from 1 species